rnacentral:lncRNA from 1 species
GGUGGUGUCCAGGCCCAGCUUGUGCGCAUCUCGACUAUUCCACCGGGUACCUGCUACCUCCCACCAACACAGGUACCGGAUAACUGUGCCCACUAAGGCUCACCUAGUGUUUUUUGCAUGCGCUGGGGUUUGAACCUGAGACUCACGUUCUUCUCCCAUUCAUUGACCACUAGACCACACCCUUGUAUGCAAAUGGGAAGUCAUUCUCUAAGAUGGAUACUAACAGGGAAAGCCAUAAAAAGGAAACAGGAAGUCAUUCUCUAAAAUGG